UACCCCUUCCACCAGUUCCUAUGGCCAGUACGAAUGCAAAUGGCGCAACCGGUUUUGGGGGAGAGUAUAGUUGGAAGAACUGUUUAGAAGUGGACUGUUCCUAUAACUACAUUCCUGUAACUACUUGGUCAGAAAGAGGCUAUUGAUGUGUUCCAGGCA